rnacentral:rRNA from 1 species
UCUUUAUCACCGAGUGCUUGCACUCACCGAUAAAGAGUUGAGUGGCGAACGGGUGAGUAACACGUGGGCAACCUGCCCAAAAGAGGGGGAUAACACUUGGAAACAGGUGCUAAUACCGCAUAACCAUAGUUACCGCAUGGUAACUAUGUAAAAGGUGGCUAUACUACCGCUUUUGGAUGGGCCCGCGGCGCAUUAGCUAGUUGGUAGGGUAAAGGCUUACCAAGGCAAUGAUGCGUAGCCGAAUUGAGAGGUUGAUCGGCCACAUUGGGACUGAGACACGGCCCAAACUCCUACGGGAGGCAGCAGUAGGGAAUCUUCCACAAUGGGCGAAAGCCUGAUGGAGCAACGCCGCGUGGGUGAAGAAGGUCUUCGGAUCGUAAAACCCUGUUGUUAGAGAAGAAAGUGCGUGAGAGUAACUGUUCACGUUUCGACGGUAUCUAACCAGAAAGCCACGGCUAACUACGUGCCAGCAGCCGCGGUAAUACGUAGGUGGCAAGCGUUAUCCGGAUUUAUUGGGCGUAAAGGGAACGCAGGCGGUCUUUUAAGUCUGAUGUGAAAGCCUUCGGCUUAACCGGAGUAGUGCAUUGGAAACUGGGAGACUUGAGUGCAGAAGAGGAGAGUGGAACUCCAUGUGUAGCGGUGAAAUGCGUAGAUAUAUGGAAGAACACCAGUGGCGAAAGCGGCUCUCUGGUCUGUAACUGACGCUGAGGUUCGAAAGCGUGGGUAGCAAACAGGAUUAG